AGUGUUCUUCAGGGCAGGGUGACUUUUUCUGAUAAGCUCAUAGGGGCUUGCAGGAAGGAAUUCCCGACCGACGGUGAUACCCAAUGGGGCAAGUCCGUGAGCCGUAUAGCAUGAUUUGGUGAGAAUCCAAAACCGACAGUACAGUCUGGAUGGGAGAAGAAGCAU
rnacentral:ncRNA from 2 species